AACGAACGCUGGCGGCAUGCUUAACACAUGCAAGUCGAACGAGACCUUCCGGCCUAGUGGCGCACGGGUGCGUAACGCGUGGGAAUCUGCCCUUAGGUUCGCAAUCACUCCCCGUAAGGGGUCCUAAUACCGGAUAAUGUCUUCGGACCAAUGAUUUAUUGCCUUUGGAUGGGCCCGCGUUGGAUUAGCUAGUUGGUAGGGUAAAAGCUUACCAAGGCGACGAUCCAUAGCUGGUCUGAGAGGAUGAUCUGCCACACUGGGACUGAGACACGGCCCAGACUCCUACGCAAGGCAGCAGAGGGGAAUAUUGGACAAUGGCGGAAAGCCUGAUCCAGCUAUGCCGCGUAAGUGAUGAAGGCCGUAGGGUUGUAAAGCUGUUUUACCCGGGAUGAUAAUGACGGUACCGUGAGAAUAAGCACCGGCUAACUCCGUG
rnacentral:rRNA from 1 species